AGCUCCAAUAGCGUAUAUUAAAGUUGUUGCAGUUAAAAAGCUCGUAGUUGGAUUUCUGGCAGGAAAUUGACGUCGGCUUGAAGCUUGAUUGUCGAGUUCGUGCCAUCCUUCUGUUAACUCAUUCGGCAUUCAGUUGUCGGGUGAGAGCUCAGAUAUUUUACCUUGAGAAAAUUAGAGUGUUUCAGGCAGGCCAGCGCCGGAAUACAUUAGCAUGGAAUAAUAGAAUAGGACUCCAGCCUCUUCUGUUGGUCUGAGGGGUUAGAGUAAUGAUUAAUAGGGAUAGUUGGGGGCAUUAGUACUUAACUGUCAGAGGUGAAAUUCUCGGAUUUGUUAAAGACUAACUUAUGCGAAAGCAUUUGCCAAGGAUGUUUUCA
rnacentral:rRNA from 1 species